GAUGAACGCUGGCUGUGUGCCUAAUACAUGCAUGUCGAGCGAAGCACUUUUGUGCUUAGCGGCGAAUGGGUGAGUAACACGUACUUAACCUACCCUCAAGAUUGGGACAACACUUGGAAACGAGUGCUAAUACCAAAUACGUAUUUUUAUCGCAUGAUAGAUAUAUAAAAGGAGCUUCGGCUUCACUAGAGGAUGGGAGUGCGCUACAUUAGUUAGUUGGUAGGGUAAUGGCCUACCAAGACUAUGAUGUAUAGCGGGGCCGAGAGGCUGAUCCGCCACACUGGGACUGAGAUACGGCCCAGACUCCUACGGGAGGCAGCAGUAGGGAAUUUUCCACAAUGAACGAAAGUUUGAUGGAGCGACACAGCGUGCAGGAUGAAGGUCUUCGGAUUGUAAACUGCUGUUAUAAGAGAAGAAAAACCCUGGUAGGUAAUGACCAGGACUUGACGGUACCUUAUCAGAAAGCGACGGCUAACUAUGUGCCAGCAGCCGCGGUAAUACAUAGGUCGCAAGCGUUAUCCGGAAUUAUUGGGCGUAAAGAGUUCGUAGGUGGUUUUGUAAGUCUGAAGUUAAAUACCGGGGCUCAACCCCGGCCCGCUUUGGAUACUGCAAAACUAGAGUAAUAGAGAGGUUAGUGGAACUCCAAGUGAAGCGGUGGAAUGCGUAGAUAUUUUGGAAGAACACCAAUGGCGAAGGCAACUAACUGGAUAUUAAACUGACACUGAGGAACGAAAAGCGUGGGUAGCAAACAGG
rnacentral:rRNA from 1 species